rnacentral:tRNA from 1 species
CGGGGCGUAGCGCAGCCUGGUAGCGCAAUUGCUUUGGGAGCAAUAGGUCGCGAGUUCGAAUCCCGCCGCCCCGACCA